UUUUGGUUGAAAAUGACCAGGGCAUUGCAGUCGGGUGGCCAAGCCUGAUUUCCUCUUUCUAACCGGAAGUGACGUUUUUGUCAAAAUGGCUGGCUUUUGGUGUGGUAGUGCCUCUUGCCUAUUUUGAUGAUUUAUGUCAAAACUAAGAAUUCUACAGAUGCUUUUUUGUUCUCUGCACCUUUAGCAUUAGAUAAAGAUAUAGAUAACUGAUCUUCUACAUUUAUAAUCAAGAACUGUUCUUGUUUCAGGCGCUUGUUUCCACUGUAUCCUGAGCUUUCAUGAUGGCUGCAAUUUUGAUUCAUAUUUGUACUCAUUUGAACUGUGUUAAGCACCUGGUUGGCUAUUUUGGCAUUAUAGAUCAAGGUUAUUGUGAGGACAUAGACAUUGAUUGCAAUUAUUUUCUUGCUGGCUAAAGAUAUCAUGAUUUAUUAUAAUUUUUAUAAUAAAUUUUAAUCAAUUUAAUUACACUUAACAAUUAAAAAAAA